GAUGAAGAACGUAGCGAAAUGCGAUAAGUAAUGUGAAUUGCAGAAUUCAGUGAAUCAUCGAAUCUUUGAACGCACAUUGCGCCCGCCAGUAUUCUGGCGGGCAUGCCUGUUCGAGCGUCAUUACAACCCUCAGGCCCCCGGGCCUGGCGUUGGGGAUCGGCAGAAGCCCCCUGUGGGCACACGCCGUCCCUCAAAUACAGUGGCGGUCCCGCCGCAGCUUCCAUUGCGUAGUAGCUAACACCUCGCAACUGGAGAGCGGCGCGGCCAUGCCGUAAAACACCCAACUUCUGAAUGUUGACCUCGAAUCAGGUAGGAAUACCCGCUGAACUUAAGCAUAUCAAAGCGGAGGA
rnacentral:misc_RNA from 1 species